rnacentral:misc_RNA from 1 species
AAACUAUGUCUAGUGUCUUGGGUUGGGAAUGGCCUAAGGCAAUUUUCAACUCAAUGACUAGAAUAGUGUC